UAACAUGUAGGUAUCUGCCCUUUGGCCUGGAAUAACACGAGGAAACUUGUGCUAAUACCGGAUAAGUCUUUACAGAGAAAGCUUUAUGCACCAUUGGAUGAGCCUGCACUUGAUUAGUUUGUUGGUGGGGUAAUGGCCUACCAAGACUGUGAUCAAUAGCUGAUUUGAGAGGAUGAUCAGCCACAUUGGGACUGAGACACGGCCCAAACUCCUACGGGAGGCAGCAGUGGGGAAUCUUGCACAAUGGAGGAAACUCUGAUGCAGCGAUGCCGCGUGAGUGAAGAAGGCCCUUGGGUUGUAAAGCUCUUUCGUCGGGGAAGAAAAUGACUGUACCCGAAUAAGAAGGUCCGGCUAACUUCGUGCCAGCAGCCGCGGUAAUACGAAGGGACCUAGCGUAGUUCGGAAUUACUGGGCUUAAAGAGUUCGUAGGUGGUUAAAAAAGUUGGUGGUGAAAUCCCAGAGCUUAACUCUGGAACUGCCAUCAAAACUUUUUAGCUAGAGUAUGAUAGAGGAAAGCAGAAUUUCUAGUGUAGAGGUGAAAUUCGUAGAUAUUAGAAAGAAUACCAAUUGCGAAGGCAGCUUUCUGGAUCAUUACUGACACUGAGGAACGAAAGCAUGGGUAGCGAAGAGGAUUAGAUACCCUCGUAGUCCAUGCCGUAAACGAUGUGUGUUAGACGUUGGAAAUUUAUUUUCAGUGUCGCAGCGAAAGCGAUAAACACACCGCCUGGGGAGUACGACCGCAAGGUUAAAACUCAAAUGAAUUGACGGG
rnacentral:rRNA from 1 species